UACAGAGGGUGCAAGCGUUGUCCGGAAUCACUGGGCGUAAAGGGCGCGUAGGCGGCCUGAUAAGUAGGAGGUGAAAUCCUGGGGCUUAACCUCAGGGCUGCCUUCUAGACUGUCCGGCUCGAGCACAGUAGAGGCAGGUGGAAUUCCCGGUGUAGCGGUGGAAUGCGUAGAGAUCGGGAAGAACAUCGGUGGCGAAGGCGGCCUGACUGG
rnacentral:rRNA from 1 species